UGCUGACAUAAGUAGAUUAGAAUUGUAAUUUUAAAAGCUAAUGAAAAUGACAGAAAAAUCAGCCAUUAAAUUAUGGGAAAGCCCAUUAGCAUUGUAUGGUGUAAAAGGAGAAUUUUACAAAGGGCUUGAGAAUAAACACUACAGGGAGUGAGUAAGGGAGAUAAAGAAAGGGGAGCACAGUUUCCUUCCAAUCUUGAGAAGUUUUACUCAGUUAAAUGACUGAACGAGAGAAUAAAAUGAAAUCAGUUCUGACAAAAGCAUGUCUGCUAAAGGUAUUGUAAAUAUCAGACUUAGUAGUGGUUAGCUGCCAAUAUAAUACCAAACAAACAAAGAAAGGAAACAUUGCCAUAGAAACCAGAUAAAUGAGAAAUGGAAGUGCAAAAAUAACUUACAAGAUAAUGCUUCUGGUCGUAUAUUAAACAGUCAACACACAACAAUGUGUGGCUAUCGGGGCCCAAUCGAGCCCAGACUCUGCAGGAGAACAGUCUGGAAGUUGAGCUGUGAUCAGAGGUUAACACCUUCCUGGCAACUCCUUGCAGUGCACACGAAGCGCUUUCGUGAUCAUGUUUUCAAUGGACUCUCACGGUAACCUUAUCAAGGGGGCAACAACUUGCACAAAAAGAACCUCAGGCAGGUAUGAGAUUGGGAUUGCAAUUCGGAUGCCCGGUGCUCAGUCUGCUUCCCUUGCUACCGUACGCUGUGGAAGAGUCAGCCCAGCAACUCAAAGGCGUUAGGAGAGAGAACCAAGGCAGCUCGAUAGCAAUACAAGACAAACAACCACAACCCCAAAAUACAACUAUGCCAAAAUCUUUAUGUUCCAAUAUAGGGCAAAACAGGUAAAAGAAACAUGAAUGAAAAUGUAAAAAAAUAUUAAUAGAAUAUGAUGGAUCAAAUAUGCAAAGAAUGAGUAGAAGAGUUGUAAAGCUACACACUAUGAUAACAUUGGGAGACCACCAAAUGGUAUGGCAAGAGAACACAUUCUGCUUUCAAACAGACGUGACUCUUCCAUAUAAAUUGAUUAAAUUUUGAGAUAUGAAGGAAAGCAAAUAAAAAAGGCAAGCUUCCUAUAUGUCUUAUCCCUUAUCCUAUGUAGCUUAUGCCUGGACAAAGGCAAAGAAAAGGAGGGAAUCAUGAUAAAAGGGAGGAUUAAAGGUGUCCGAUUGUCUGGAUGUUAAAACAUACUCUUUCCUUUCGUUCGUAGACAUGGGCACGCCACAGAAGGAUGUUAUUAUUAAGUCAGAUGCACCCAACACCCUAUUAUUGGAGAAACAUGCAGAUUAUAUUGCGUCCUUUGGCUCAAAGAAAGAUGAUUAUGAAUACUGCAUGUCUGAGUAUUUGAGAAUGAGUGGUAUCUAUUGGGGUCUGACAGUAAUGGAUCUCAUGGGACAACUUCAUCGCAUGAAUAGAGAAGAAAUUUUGAUAUUUAUUAAGUCAUGCCAACAUGAGUGUGGUGGAAUAAGUGCUAGUAUUGGACAUGAUCCUCAUCUUUUAUACACUCUCAGUGCUGUCCAGAUUCUUACUCUGUAUGAUAGUAUUAAUGUUAUUGACGUAAACAAAGUUGUGGAAUAUGUACAGAGUCUACAGAAAGAAGAUGAUUCUUUUGCUGGAGACAUUUGGGGAGAAAUUGAUACAAGAUUCUCUUUCUGUGCAGUGGCAACUUUGGCUCUAUUGGGGAAGCUUGAUGCCAUUAAUGUGGAAAAGGCAAUUGAAUUUGUUUUAUCCUGUAUGAACUUUGAUGGUGGAUUUGGUUGCAGACCAGGUUCUGAAUCUCAUGCUGGGCAGAUCUAUUGUUGCACAGGAUUCCUGGCUAUUACCAGUCAGUUGCAUCAAGUAAAUUGUGAUUUACUUGGUUGGUGGCUUUGUGAACGACAGUUACCCUCAGGUGGACUCAAUGGAAGGCCAGAGAAGUUACCAAGAUGUAUGUUAUUCAUGGUGGGUAUUGGCUUCCCUAAAGAUAAUUGGAAGGCUUCAUUGGAUUGACAGAGAGAAGUUGCGUAGUUUCAUCUUAGCAUGUCAAGAUGAAGAAACGGGUGGAUUUGUGGACAGGCCAGGAGAUAUGGUGGAUCCUUUUCAUACAUUAUUUGGAAUUGCUGGAUUGUCACUUUUGGGAGAAGAACAGAUUAAACCUGUUAGUCCUGUUUUUUGCAUGCCUGAAGAAGUGCUUCGGAGGAUGAAUGUUCAGCCUGAGCUAGUGAGCUAGAUUCAUUGAAUUUGAGCUAGAUUCAAAAGUUGAACAGUGUAGUUUUGCCAUCUCAACAUUUCUCUGUUUGACGUGCUUAUCAAACUUAAGAACCGCUGUUAAUACUUUGUAUAUUGUGUUAAAUUAAUUUCAGUAAAUCAUGUAAUUAUAUAUAUUGUAAAAUAAAGACCUGUAUUUUAUUUUC